rnacentral:rRNA from 1 species
CGUACACUCCUACGGAGGCAGCAGUGGGGAAUUUUGGACAAUGGGCGAAAGCCUGAUCCAGCCAUGCCGCGUGCAGGAUGAAGGCCUUCGGGUUGUAAACUGCUUUUGUACGGAACGAAACGGCCUUUUCUAAUAAAGAGGGCUAAUGACGGUACCGUAAGAAUAAGCACCGGCUAACUACGUGCCAGCAGCCGCGGUAAUACGUAGGGUGCAAGCGUUAAUCGGAAUUACUGGGCGUAAAGCGUGCGCAGGCGGUUAUGUAAGACAGUUGUGAAAUCCCCGGGCUCAACCUGGGAACUGCAUCGGUGACUGCAUAGCUAGAGUACGGUAGAGGGGGAUGGAAUUCCGCGUGUAGCAGUGAAAUGCGUAGAUAUGCGGAGGAACACCGAUGGCGAAGGCAAUCCCCUGGACCUGUACUGACGCUCAUGCACGAAAGCGUGGGGAGCAAACAGGAUUAGAUACCCUAGUAGUCCCAUGAU